rnacentral:lncRNA from 1 species
GAGUUAGGAUGGUGGAGAGUGUGAUUUUAGGCUUUUGAUGGUGAGGAAAAAAUAUUUUUAUAAUAGUUUGCCAUAUAAUAUAUAUUUAAAAGUAAUUGUAUUAUGUCAUGUGAUAUAUGAAAACUGUAAUAAAAGGUCAGUAAAAUAUAUAAAAUAUAUCUGUAUUGUAAAUUAUUUUGAUUCAGCUAUCUAAUUUUUUAAAAUUUUAAUUUUAAUACUCAAUAUUAUGAUUAAUUUGUUUGAUUUAUGUUAUUCGGUGGCUUUUUAUAUACAAAAUUUAAGCUAAUUAUUUACUUCAAUAAAUUUAUAGUUAUAUACAUUGCGUAAGCUAUGCUAAUUAACUCAGCAAUGAUAAAAUGAUGCAUUCAAAUUAUAAAAUUUAAGAAUAGUUAAUUGGUGCAAAUCAAGUAAGUUAAAAUAUUAGGUA